rnacentral:rRNA from 1 species
AACGAACGCUGGCGGCAUGCCUAACACAUGCAAGUCGAACGAGACCUUCGGGUCUAGUGGCGCACGGGUGCGUAACGCGUGGGAACCUGCCCUUAGGCUCGGAAUACCUCCCCGAAAGGGGUGCUAAUACCGGAUAAUGUCUUCGGACCAAAGAUUUAUCGCCUUUGGAUGGGCCCGCGUUGGAUUAGCUAGUUGGUAGGGUAAAAGCCUACCAAGGCGACGAUCCAUAGCUGGGUUGAGAGGAUGAUCAGCCACACUGGGACUGAGACACGGCCCAGACUCCUACGGGAGGCAGCAGUGGGGAAUAUUGGACAAUGGGCGAAAGCCUGAUCCAGCAAUGCCGCGUGAGUGAUGAAUGCCUUAGGGUUGUAAAGCUCUUUUAACCGGGAUGAUAAUGACAGUACCUGGAGAAUAAGCUCCGGCUAACUCCGUG